AGCGGGGUAGAGCAGCCUGGAGUGCUCGUCGGGCUCAUAACCCGGAGGUCGUCAGUUCAAAUCUGACCCCCGCUA
rnacentral:tRNA from 1 species